rnacentral:rRNA from 1 species
AUGAAGACCUGUAUGAAUGGCACGACGAGGGCUUAACUGUCUCCUUUUUCCAGUCAGUGAAAUUGAUCUCCCCGUGCAGAAGCGGGGAUAAAACCAUAAGACGAGAAGACCCUGUGGAGCUUUAGACAAUGGGCCAGACCAUGUUAACACCCUCUAUCUAAAGAGAAGAACCAAUUGGACCCUGUCCCAAUGUU